GAGACCGGCCCGCGGCUACGGCUCUCGCCUCAUAAGCGGAAGGUUCAGGGUUCGAUUCCCGAUCGGUCUCC
rnacentral:tRNA from 1 species